AGAGUUUGAUCAUGGCUCAGGAUGAACGCUAGCGGCAGGCCUAAUACAUGCAAGUCGAACGGUAAGUCCCGCCUCGGCGGGAACACGAGUGGCGCACGGGUGCGUAACGCGUAUGCAACCUACCUUUAACUGGGGAAUAGCCCCGAGAAAUCGGGAUUAAUACCCCAUAAUAAUAAAAUAUGACAUCAUUUUUUAUUUAAAGUUCCGGCGGUUAAAGAUGGGCAUGCGUGACAUUAGUUAGUUGGUGAGGUAACGGCUCACCAAGGCAACGAUGUCUAGGGGUUCUGAGAGGAUUAACCCCCACACUGGUACUGCGACACGGACCAGACUCCUACGGGAGGCAGC
rnacentral:rRNA from 1 species